GUCUCUGAAGACUGAUUCUGUUCUUUAUAUCUUGGACAACUCCUCUUGAUAUGUCCCUCCUAGUCGCAAUAAAAGCACAUAAAAGUGCGACUUCUUAAUUGUGACCUCGGUCAUCCUCUACCGAUGCCCCUUUGAUGACCUCUUCCCUGACCUCGACCUCUUUCCCUGCUUCCUUCUGAGACUAGGGCUUGCGACUCAUCACUAUUCGUUGUACCUAUCUCUCUCUUCCUUGCCUCUUUAUUGAAUAAGGCAUCUUUGACCGUACUCAUGGUUAACUUUCCAUUCGACGUUGAAUUGCUGAGAGAAAUCACAAAUGUCUCCUAACUUUUUGGCAAGGAAUUCAAAAUCAAUAGGGCCUGCGUCUCAUCCUCGUAUUGUAGGUCAACACUAGUCAACUAAUUGAUCAAAUUCUGGAGCUCACUCAUAUGUUCCGCCACUAAAGUACCACUAUGUAACUUCAGAUUCACUAGCCUCCUCAUCAAGAGCGCUUUGUUCCGUGACGUCUUAGCCUGGUUCAUCGUCUCCAACUUGGUCCAUAACUUAUAAGCACUCGUAUCCUGUGCCAUAUGAUGGAACGUCUCGUGCCCAAUCCAUUGUCUGCUUUGCCCUAAUUAUUUUUUGGUUCAAGCUUCUUUCAUUCCCAUCAUUCAUCUCUUAGUUUAUUCUCUUAUCUCCAUGUCAUACAAAUCCUUAUAGAAUAGAUAUCUUCAUUCAUAUUGAGGGCGUAAUACAUACUUCAUGGCUGAAAGCAAGGAUUAGAUCCCCUAAUUGUUCUUGUGUGGGCCAUCUUAAUUCAACUCCAAUAGAUGCAAAAAAAUCCUUCCUAAAAUUAACCCCAGGGAAUGGAUUGGAUGCUAACAAAUUUUAGAAAGUGCUAAACUGUCAAAAUUAAAAUUUUUUGGUACCAAAUAUCAAAAAUCCAAACUACCGAGACCAACUAUAAUUUUACUAAACUAGAGACCAACUAAUUUUCAACUCAGGAACUAAAUUAUAAUUUUUGGAAACUACACGGACAAAAAUAUAAUUUUUUGAAACUUUAGGGACUAAAAGUGCAAUUAUCCAACCUUAGGAAUAUUCCCAGAAUAUUCCCUCUCAGCUCAGCUCGAUCAACGUCUUGCGGCUUGGUCAACGGCUCGCGUUGGGUCAAAGCUCAAUCAAUCUGCGUGGCUUGGUUGCGCUUGUUGGUGCGUGUGGUGCGUGAGAAUGAUGGCUCACCAAACUUCAGACGGCGUGUGGGGACUGGUUUGAUGUCCGAUCGACUUAGACUUUAUACCGACGGACUCGUCUCGAAGAGGGGAAUCCUGUGGUAUGCUCAAAAUUCAAUUCCGAGCAACUUUGGAUAUAGACUAUGGGGGGGGGGAAAAUCUGCUCCGUUCUUGGCAGAAAUUACUCCGGUGACUCGACCUCGCUCUGGUACCACUGUUGUGUAAAAAUGGACUCAACAUAAGAUAGGGGUCAUCAAAACACCAAACCGUCCGAUGGAAAGACGGUUUUCAAUGCUACAUAGCCAGCUAAAAAGUCUCCAUGGGCUUUUACUUUUGCUGUAAUAACAUUGUGAAGGUGAAUUUUGGUAAAUUCAUACGUCCUCCGUGUUUACUUCGCUUCCUAGUAUUAUCAUCAUCAUUGUCCAAUGUUCGCUGGCCUCAUUGUUGUAUUGAAAUAUUCAUACGGGGAACAUAAAAUAUGGCAAUUGAAGAUCUGCGAAUGAAACCAUUCCAAAAUUGCAAAAUGUACGCACACCCCCCCCCCCAAAAUACUAGCUUAAGGCGGACUACACCAGGCAUUAGGCAACAUUUCACUUCGUGUGCCAAACAAGAGCUACACCGUAAAUCUGAAAUCAAGUACCAAUGACUUGUGGUGGGAAGUGAAGAGGCUGAAUCUGACUUUUUAUAUUUGGAAAGUAGAAGAAACUCUAUGCACCCAUUUUGUCCCCAGCCACAGCAUGUACAUUUAUGUUACAAACGCAAGGAUGGAUGAUACGGUAAAGAUGCAUAACAGAUUCGUUGUCACAUUUGAAGAAUUAAAAUUGAAAAAUAAGUAGAACAAUAAUUCCCAAGCAUCGAACAAAAGAGACAUAAUUUUCGAAGAAACAGAGAAGCUUGUUUUCAAUGAAACGUUGCCUAACCCAACAAACAGAUUCAGCUUCAGAUUGGGGACAGAGGACCUAAGUGUUAUAUAGCUCUUUCCAUAUCACAUACUUAUGCCAAAGGCUUUAAGUGGCCGAAUUGAAUGUUGAAACCACACAUAAAUCAGUAUAUUUAACAUAAUACCCAAUACUUUAAUCUGCUUUCGACUAUGACAGCUCAAAUUAAAUGCAAAGAGUAUUCAACAGGUUGAAAAGCCCACAUGAAUGAUACAGAAUAUAUUGCACUAAUUGUGAAUCUGCAAACGGUGCAAUUAAAUUAGAUAGCAGAAAUAGAAAUCAUCCGGGAAUAGGAAUCUCGUUAAGUCAUCCUCAUAAGGUUUGCAAAGAAAUAAAGGAACAUAAAUAACUGAAAAUUUCCACUUUUGUCUGGGCUAGCACGCACCAACAUGUCCGCACACUUGCUUUCUCUCUGUAGACAUGUUUAAUUGUAUCUAUUCGCAAUCUUGAAUUAGGUUGUUAAGCUGGAUAAUUGCCCGUGCGUCCGCCUCCACUUCAAUGGGGAUCAAAAGCAUAGAGUCAUAGACCAUGCCAUGAUCCAUGAUGAGACCCUCUCUGAGGGCUGUAAGCUCAGUUUCCAUACUACUGACUUGGCCAAUUGUUCGAUGAAAUCCUGUGACACAAGUUCCAUUGUGAACGCGGAUAAUGCUACCACCGGACUCUAUUGGGGGUUUGACUUUACUGUACCAUCCGUGUUAAGUUUAAAAAAGUUAAGUUAGGGGGGAAUUUCCAUGAUUUUUGUUAUGCGCAGAACCAAAACAAAAACCACACACUCAUACAAAGAGACACAUAUAUUUAUGUGAUUCGACAAUUUGCUUACAUCCUCGGAUUGUAGCAAUUUCAGUAUUAGAGAAAGAAAAAUAUAGAUUUACGGUUUCUCUCUAUCUCAAGCUCUCUGAUCUCUCUCUUUUCUCUCACUCUUCCCUUGGUGGUCUGGUGGUGGCAAAGCAACCGCCACCUCCCUCAUACUCUCUCUACCUUUGAUCUACAUCUUUUUUUUCCCCACACAUUAUACACAACCAUUGAAGCUGUAUAUAUAGGCCUAGAACUACACACUUUUUGAGAAAAAUAACUCAGAAAGUUAAAGCCAUCAUUGGGAGUCCAACAAUUUUUGGGUACCUAACGGUUCUCUUUCACUUCACUUGUCCAUUCUUAUCAAAUCCUGCUAAACCAUGUCAUUCCCUAGCAUAAUCUUCCCAAAU
rnacentral:lncRNA from 1 species